AUGUCCAUUAGCAGUAGACCUCAAGUCAGCCUCCUGAAUGUUUUCCACUCACAGUGGGCAGAGAAUGUGUUACUUCUCUCUUCGCCUCGCAUUCCCGGCUUCUUCUCGGUUCCUAGCUUCGUCUGGUUAUUUUGUCUUCACUUGAAGUGGAAGAGGAACAUUCAAGGCAGAGCAAGAGGGACUAUCCAAGCAGCAGCCAGAGAGACCUCAGAACCAUGUGGAGCAACGAUGGCGUCAGGAAGAGUGUUGGUGGCUGGGACCUCCGAGGAGAUCUCAAGUUUGUGAGGAGUCCCGAGGAUCCUUGAAGAGCUCUGUGCUCACUCUUCUCUGAAAUUACAGUGAGAGCUGCCAACAAACUAGGACCCCCAAAGCAAUGGGGGCAAGGGGAUUCUUGGGAGGCAGGGGCUCAGUGGCUGCCCUUGACCGCCAAAGCAAGGUGGGCACAGUUACCAUGAAGGACAGCAGAGUGGAAGCAGCAGUCAGAGUCCGGCUGCAGGAGACCAGGUGCUGGCUCGUUGACUAUUCUGUCCCUAUAAGACAGUUGGAUGAGAAUCUACUAAAUUUUUACUUGAACAGUAGAAGCAGGAAAGUUCCAGUUGAAGACUAACUUGAAUCACCAAAACAAAGAGUCACAGCUGUUCAGUCAGUUCCCAGGCAUGAGCCAGUUUACAGACCAGAACUCCUUGAAUUAAGAGGAAGCCAGCUCCCCUUGAGGAAGGAUGCUGGUCCCCUGCUAAAAAUUUAUAUUGUGAACCUUUCUCUCAGCCUUCCUCAAAGGGACACACUGGCCUUGACCGGGCGACUGCGCACUGGGAAAAAGAAAAUAAUCAGACCUUGUGGGGAUCACUGGACACGACGCUAUAGCUCUGGGAGACCCAAGAUGGCACGUGGUCCAGCAGGAAGAGCAGGGGCUCACGGAGGUCAGGUGAUCAUUGGAGUUUUAGCUCAGGUCCAUCUCACAGUGAGCCCAGAGGGCCCCCGAACCCAACUUGCAGUUACUUCCCUGGUUCCAGAAUGAAUAAUUGGAAUAUUCAGCUGCCACAAUCCCUGUGUGGGUUCCCUGCCCUCUGGAGUGAGGGCUAUGAUUGUAGGAAAGGCCAAGUGGAAGCCACUAGAACUGCCUCCCUAAGGAAAAUAAUGAGCCCAAGGCAGCAGCACAUUCCUGAAGGCACCGCGCAGAUCAGUGUCACCAUCGAGGGCUCGAGCCACAUCCCCAUUCCACUGGCCUUUCUUUGGCUGGUGCAGAAAACAGGCGGACCUUGACAAAUGACGGGGCGAUGGUCAUAAACGUGCCCAGGUCGUGACUGCAAUGGCAGCUGCCAAUUCAGACACGGUCUAAGUGCUCAGGCCACUGAACCUGUCCCCUGGUUGCUGGCGUGCAGCUGGGUCAACCACCAGGACACAUUGCCAACGAUUUUUAGUUUUUCUUCGAUUACUCUAGCUCAAUACUGCAUUGUUUGAAUAAUGAAAAAUACUUAGUGACUUAGUUCUUUUAGUAAUGAGGAGCAAGCCAUGUUUUGGAUUCUCAAUCUGCCCUUAAAUAAAAAGCAUAGGUCUUUCA
ensembl:lncRNA